GAUGAACGCUGGCGGCGUGCCUAAUACAUGCAAGUCGAGCGAACAGACGACUAGCUUGCUCCUCUGACGUUAUCCGCGGACGGGUGCGUAACACGUGGAUAACCUACCUAUUAUACUUGGAUCACUUCGUGAAACCCGAGCUAAUACCGCUUAAUUUCUUCAACCGCAUGGUUCAAUAGUUAACGACGGUUUUGCUGUCACUUAUAGAUGGAUCUCGGCCGCAUUAGCUAGUUGGUAAGGUAAAGGCUUACCAAGGCAACGAUGCGUAGCCGACGGGAGAGGGUGAUCGGACAGAGUAGAACGGAGACAAGGACCAGAAAAAUAGGGGAGGAAGGAGAAGGGAAUAUUAGGAAAUGGGCGAAAAGAUGAAAGAGGAAAGGCAAGUGAGUGAUGAAGGUAUUCGGAUGGUAAAACUAUGUUAUAAGGGAAGAAAAAAAGUGUAAGUAAAUAAGGAGGUGUUGACGGUACCAAAUAAGAAAGCCACGGCUAACUACGUG
rnacentral:rRNA from 1 species